AUGUGGGAAACCACGAUGCGGGAAACCCAAGUGCCAGCGCUAUGCGUUGGCUGUCCUCAACUGUUCGUAAGUUGGGAAGAAAGUGCUGGGUAAGACGGGUGCCAGCCGCCGCGGUAAUACCCGCAGCACAAGUGGUGGUCAUUAUUAUUGGGCCUAAAGCGUCCGUAGCUGGUCUGUUAGAUGCCUGGGUAAAUCGAUGCGCUCAACGUAUCGAAUUCCGGGUAGGCCGGCAGACUCGAGACCGGGAGAGGCGUGAGCUACUCGAGGGGUAGGGGUAAAAUCCUGUAAUCCUUCGGGGAGGACCAGUGGCGAAGGCGUCACGCUAGAACGGCUCUGACAGUGAGGGACGAAGCCCUGGGGCGCAAACCGGAUUAGAUACCCCGGUAGUCC
rnacentral:rRNA from 1 species